rnacentral:lncRNA from 1 species
AUAAGCCGCGGGCAAAGCCGCGCCCAAAAAUAAGCACCCGAAGGUCGUGGUGCCAAAACCCCCCAGCGGAAAAAUGGCCAAAAAACGGGUGGGCUAAAGCCUUGGUGGGGGGCGCGGGCGAAGUUCGUCCGCCGGACUCGGAAUGGGGCGAGACUUUGCGAGGGACCUCGGGGUGCCAAAAAUAAGCCGCGGGCAAAGCCGCGCCCAAAAAUAGGAGCCCGAAGGUCGUGGUGCCAAAACCCCCCAGCUGAAAAAUGGCCAAAAAACGGGUG